rnacentral:rRNA from 1 species
ACUCGAGUUGCGAACGGGUGAGUAACACGUGGGUGAUCUGCCCUGCACUUCGGGAUAAGCUUGGGAAACUGGGUCUAAUACCUGAUAGGAGCCAUCUUUAGUGUGGUGGUUGAAAGUUUUUCGGUGUAGGAUGAGCUCGCGGCCUAUCAGCUUGUUGGUGGGGUAAUGGCCUACCAAGGCGGCGACGGGUAGCCGGCCUGAGAGGGUGUACGGCCACAUUGGGACUGAGAUACGGCCCAG